CACGUAGGGCGCAAGCGUUGUCCGGAAUUAUUGGGCGUAAAGAGCUCGUAGGCGGUCUGUUGCGUCCGCUGUGAAAACUCGGGGCUUAACCCCGAGCCUGCAGUGGAUACGGGCAGACUAGAGGUAGGUAGGGGAGAAUGGAAUUCCCGGUGUAGCGGUGAAAUGCGCAGAUAUCUGGAGGAACACCGGUGGCGAAGGCGACAUCCUGGACCGGUAUUGACGCUGAGGCGCGAAAGCCAGGGGAGCAAAGCGGG
rnacentral:rRNA from 1 species